GACGUAGGGCGCGAGCGUUGUCCGGAAUUAUUGGGCGUAAAGAGCUCGUAGGCGGUGUGUCGCGUCGGCCGUGAAAACCUGGGGCUCAACUCUGGGCGUGCGGUCGAUACGGGCAUCACUUGAGUUCGGCAGGGGAGACUGGAAUUCCUGGUGUAGCGGUGAAAUGCGCAGAUAUCAGGAGGAACACCGAUGGCGAAGGCAGGUCUCUGGGCAUUAACUGACGCUGGAGGAGCGAAAAGCCAUGGGGAGCGAACAGG
rnacentral:rRNA from 1 species